rnacentral:rRNA from 1 species
UACGUAGGGGGCAAGCGUUAUCCGGAUUUACUGGGUGUAAAGAGAGCGUAGGCGGCUCUGCAAGUCUGGAGUGAAAGCCCGGGGCUCAACCCCGGGACUGCUUUGGAAACUGUGGAGCUAGAGUGCAGGAGAGGUAAGUGGAAUUCCUAGUGUAGCGGUGAAAUGCGUAGAUAUUAGGAGGAACACCAGUGGCGAAGGCGGCUUACUGGACCAGCACUGACACUGAGGCACGAAAGCGUGGGGAGCAAACAGG